AUGCUCCAUUAUUUCUAUGUAAUACAAAGUAACAUUGCUACAAACUUCAUUUUGAACUUCACAUUAAACUGCUUCUGUUUCACACAAAUCCCGGCACAGAUGUGCAUGUUUAGAUCAAACUCAUAGAAAAUAACCAAAACAAUCCAAGGUUUUUAUUUAGCACAGUGGCUAGAUUAAUGAAUAACCAGACGCCACCUGAUUUUAAUAUUCCAUCAACAUUUAAUAGUAAUGACUUUAUGAAGAUGAGUAAGUUUUUUAGUAAAGCUGAAAGAUUUACAGACAGUUGAGGUCCUUCAGACAUCGUACUACACCAGACAGCAAAUUAAGGCCUUUAAAAGUCUGGAGGCAUACAACUUUUUUGUCAAUGGGUGGGUCCACAACCUCUGUGUCCAACGGCUCCACGAUGAUCAUCGUUUGGUCUUCGCCAGAGUGAGUCUUUGUUUUUAUAUUGUUUUAUGUGCUAAGAUGCUAGCAGUAACGCAGCACAUCUUAACGAUGGCGUUAGUCUGACAGUCUUUAAUGUUUCAAGGUAAAAGACUCUCAGAGGUCAAGCGAAACACUUCUGAAGACCUGGAUUAUUGUGAAGGAGGAUGGAGAAGUCAUUGCAGCUCAUUGCAAUUGCAUGGCAGUACUAUCAGAAUCGUGUUCUCAUGUAGAGGCAGUUCUUUUUUCCAUUGAAGUUGGGGUAAAGAUGCAAGAUUCAGCUUCCUGCACAACAGAGAAGUGCAAGUGGCUGAUGCCAUCACAUGUAAAAAAGUUAUGGAUGCAAACAUGAAGCACAAGCCAGAGGAGCAUAUGAGAAGCUGAUGGUUCAGGAGCAUGCAGGCUUCUCCUAUAUGGGCAGUGGUCUCUGGCUGAACCCCAAG